AUGGAGAGCGGAGGUGUGCCUCUUAUAAAGGAUGGAGGCUGGGGACUGCGCACUGCACCUACAUACAUUACAACACUAAAGCUAGCUUUGAGUAGAGAAAAAAGCCAAGAGAAGAAGAAGAUGGACAGUGGCAGUUCAUCCGGUGGAAACAACCAAGGCAAGAAAAAGAGCAAGAAACGUGUGCUGACCGCGGAAGAGCUGAAAAACCGGCGGCUUGAGAAUGUGCAACCUACCUCUUGGGACGAUGAGUGGAUUGUAACACUGAAAAUCACAGAUAAUGUGGUGGAGGAUGAAGACACUAGUAGCAUCGUGAGCAGUUUCUGGACAGACAGCCCCUUCUCGAUAGAUGCCGAGGAGGAGACUGACAAGGAGGAGGCUGAUGAAGAGGGGGCUGACAAUGAGGAUGAGGAGGAGGAGGAGGCUGACGGAGACGGUGACAAGAAGGAGGAGGAUCAGACUGACGACGACGAUGGCGACCAGACUGACGAUGACAAUGGCGAGGACCUCAGCUAA
rnacentral:rRNA from 1 species